AAUGAACGCUGGCGGCGUGCCUAAUACAUGCAAGUCGAGCGAACAGACGAGGAGCUUUCUCCUCUGACUUUAGCGGCGGACGGGUGAGUAACACGUGGAUAACCUACCUAUAAGACUGGGAUAACUUCGGGAAACCGGAGCUAAUACCGGAUAAUAUAUUGAACCGCAUUGUUCAAUAGUUAAAUACGGUUUUUCUUUCACUUAUAGAUGGAUCCGCGCCGCAUUAGCUAGUUGGUAAGGUAACGGCUUAACAAGGCAACGAUGCGUAGCCGACCUGAGAGGGUGAUCCGCCAGCCUGGAACUGAGACACGGCCCAGACUCCUACGGGAGGAAGCAGUAGGGAAUCUUACGCAAUGGGCGAAAGCUUGACGGAGCACAGCCGCGGGAGUGAUGAAGGUCUUCGGCUGGUAAAGCUCUGUUAUUAGGGAAGAACAAAUGUGUAAGUACCUAUGAAGGUAUUGACGGUACCUAAUCAGAAAGCCACGGCUAACUCCGUG
rnacentral:rRNA from 1 species